rnacentral:ribozyme from 12 species
UCGAAACAACAGAAGGAAAAAAACGAGAAACAAAAACAAAAAGAACAAGAUAAAAGAAUGAGUGCAUGGUGUUUCUAAAGUUGAUCACCCGCCUACCUGCUGCUUUCCUCCUCCUUGUGUGU